UUAUAUAAACGCAGUUCUGCUUCAUAUCUGGGGGUUUGUUCGAAAAUAUACUAAUUUUACCCUGUAAGAAAGAAAAAAACUUUCAAAUUACCAAAGUUCUUGUCAAGAAACAAAGUUUUUUCUAUUCGAAAAAGGCUUAGUAGUUUCGAUUCGUUCUUGAGUUUCUCAGUGAGGUUUUAGUUGUGGUUGGAAGCCGUUCCAACUCGUCUUUGUACCAAAAGCUCCCCGGAAAAAGAUAUAUUUUUCUAUGAUACAUGUAAAUUUCAUCCGAGUCCAAAUCUGGACUCAUUUCCCCUUUGCAUUUUCGAUGGGACAUGGAGGGCUAAUUGCAAUUUUUCAAGUUUGUUCGUCAAGCCUUGGAUAUUUUCGAGAAAUGGGAGUUGAUAUCCAAGGAAAAGGAAAGCAAUAUUACAAGUUGCGGAGGCUGAAAAUGAAUUGUAUACACUUAUAUACAAUCUGCUAUAUAGGAAAACAGGGUCAUAUACAUUGAUAUACAACAGUGAUAUACAACAAAGUUGGGCUAAAAAUACAGAUUGCUCAGCAGCUUAGUCCAAACGUAUAGAAACUAAGUAUUAUAUCAGAUUUUUAUUUUGUUUAGAGUUUUGGGCCAAAAUCCAAAGCCUUUUUGAGUUAUUAUUAUUUAAUUUUAUCCGGGUUGUAAUA